UAGGGAAUCUUCCGCAAUGGACGAAAGUCUGACGGAGCAACGCCGCGUGAGUGAAGAAGGAUUUCGGUUCGUAAAACUCUGUUGUUAGGGAAGAAAAAAUGUAUAGUAACUAUAUACAAAAGAGACGGUACCUAACCAGAAAGCCACGGCUAACUACGUGCCAGCAGCCGCGGUAAUACGUAGGUGGCAAGCGUUGUCCGGAAUUAUUGGGCGUAAAGCGCGCGCAGGUGGUUUAGAAAGUCUGAUGUGAAAGCCCACGGCUCAACCGUGGAGGGUCAUUGGAAACUAAAAAACUUGAGUGCAGGAGAGGAAAGUGGAAUUCCUAGUGUAGAGGUGAAAUGCGUAGAGAUUAGGAGGAACACCGGUGGCGAAAGCGGCUUUUUGGCCUGCAACUGACACUGAGGCGCGAAAGCGUGGGGAGCAAACAGG
rnacentral:rRNA from 1 species